UACCAGCUCUCCGAGUGGUGUGGAUGUUUAUUGGGCCUAAAGCAUCCGUAGCUGGCUGGGCAAGUCCCCUGUUAAAUCCACCGAUUUAAUCGUUGGUGUGCGGGGGAUACUGUUCGGCUAGGGGACGGGAGAGGCCGACGGUAUUUUCGGGGUAGGGGUGAAAUCCUAUAAUCCCGGGAAGACCACCAGUGGCGAAGGCUGUCGGCUAGAACGCGCCCGACGGUGAGGGAUGAAAGCUGGGGGAGCGAACCGGAUUAGAUACCCGGGUAGUCCCAGCUGUAAACGAUGCAGGCUAGGUGUUUGGGCGGCCACGUGCCGCUCUAGUGCCGCAGAGAAGUCGUUAAGCCUGCCGCCUGGGGAGUACAGCCGCAAGGCUGAAACUUAAAGGAAUUGGCGGAGGAGCACCACAAGGGGUGAAGCUUGCGGUUU
rnacentral:rRNA from 1 species